rnacentral:rRNA from 1 species
CGGGAAACCGGUGCUAAUACCGAAUAUUGAAACAUAAGUGGCAUCACUGAGUUUUGAAAGAAUUUCGGUGGAGGAUGACUUCGCGGCCUAUCAGCUAGUUGGUGAGGUAAUGGCUCACCAAGGCAACGACGGGUAGCCGGCCUGAGAGGGCGACCGGCCACACUGGGACUGAGACACGGCCCAGACUCCUACGGGAGGCAGCAGUGGGGAAUAUUGGGCAAUGGAGGAAACUCUGACCCAGCGACGCCGCGUGCGGGAUGAAGGCCUUCGGGUUGUAAACCGCUUUCAGUAGGGAAGAAGCGAAAGUGACGGUACCUACAAAAGAAGCACCGGCUAACUAUGUGCCAGCAGCCGCGGUAAUACAUAGGGUGCAAGCGUUGUCCGGAAUUAUUGGGCGUAAAGAGCUCGUAGGUCGUUUGUUACGUCGGAUGUGAAAACCUGAGGCUCAACCUCAGGCCUGCAUUCGAUACGGGCAAACUAGAGUUUGGUAGGGGAGACUGGAAUUCCUGGUGUAGCGGUGGAAUGCGCAGAUAUCAGGAGGAACACCAAUGGCGAAGGCAGGUCUCUGGGCCAAUACUGACACUGAGGAGCGAAAGUCUGGGGAGCGAACAGGAUUAGAUACCCUGGUAGUCCAGACCGUAAACGGUGGGCACUAGUUGUGGGAACCUUCCACGGUUUCUGCGACGCAGCUAACGCAUUAAGUGCCCCGCCUGGGGAGUACGAUCGCAAGAUUAAAACUCAAAGGAAUUGACGGGGGCCCCCGCACAAGCAGCGGAGCAUGCGGCUUAAUUCGACGCAACGCGAAGAACCUUACCAAGGCUUGACAUAUAGGGGAAA